rnacentral:rRNA from 1 species
UACGAAGGGGGCUAGCGUUGCUCGGAAUCACUGGGCGUAAAGCGCACGUAGGCGGAUUGUUAAGUCAGGGGUGAAAUCCUGGAGCUCAACUCCAGAACUGCCUUUGAUACUGACGGAGCUUCGAGUCCGGGAGAGGUGAGUGGAACUGCGAGUGUGGAGGUGAAAUUCGUAGAUAUUCGCAAGAACACCAGUGGCGAAGGCGGCUCACUGGCCCGGUACUGACGCUGAGGCACGAAAGCGUGGGGGAGCAAACAGG